CGCGGUUAUAGCACUGAGGAACCACCUCUUCCCAUUCCGAACAGAGAAGUUAAGCUCAGUCGCGCUGAUGGUACUGACCUACCAGUUGGGAGAGUAAGUCGCUGCGG
rnacentral:rRNA from 1 species